rnacentral:misc_RNA from 1 species
CCGAGUUUACAACUCCCAACCCCUGUGAACAUACCACUUGUUGCCUCGGCCGGAUCAGCCGCUCCCGGUAAAACGGGACGGCCCGCCAGAGGACCCCUAAACUCUGUUUCUAUAUGUAACUUCUGAGUAAAACCAUAAAUAAAUCA